AGUGAAGAGAGAGCAGUGAGAGCUGCUGGUUUUGUUCAUAUACAGCUAGUAAGGCUUUUUGAGAUGCACGUCGGUAAACUUGGAAAUGAACUUGCGCUCCCUGGGCUCGGCUGUGAACCGAUUGUGAAGCGCAAAGUAACUAAUAGGUGGCGGGAAUGCACCAUUAAAGUUUGGUUUGCCAACUGCCAUUAAACUUGAAAGAAGAAGAAGAAGAAUAGUUGCAAUAGCUGAAUUGUUUGGCAUGGUCGCUGGAAGAACAAGCUCUGCAGCUUCAGUACCUCCUGAUAAAGGUUCUUUGCCCGGAAAUCCAUAAAGCAUUAUGCUCGGGUGAUGAGAAUUCUUCGCACUGCCCCGUUGACCAUCUACUGAUAAGCACACAUUGAAGAACAUGACUGAAUUUACUGCUUGCAACUGUACAAGAAACACCCUAAAGUGCAUUAACAGUCUGCGACGGGCACUGAGGCAGGACAGGCUGCGGGGUUGCUGCGUUCACCAUCAGCUGCAUUAAAAUGCAAGAGCAGCAGUGCAUCACUGGACCUCAGAGAUAGAUAAAUCAACUAAAUAAGCAAGCGCAACGUAUGCACUCUGCUACAAAAAAUGCCCGCAUUGCAUGAACAAACCUCAUGCUCUGAGGACCUACAGCUCUCUUUCUCUCUCUAUCUGCUCUCUUACAAUGAAUUAGACAUGGACAUUUGAAGAACAUUUUGAAAUAGUCUGAAACAGUAUUUUCUUAUAAAACGUACCCCAAUAAUCUUUAUAUAUGUGU